UACAGAGGUCUCGAGCGUUGUUCGGAUUCAUUGGGCGUAAAGGGUGCGUAGGUGGCUAGGUAAGUCGGAUGUGAAAGCCCAGGGCUCAGCCCUGGAAGUGCGCUAGAAACUGCGAGGCUCGAGUGCCGGAGGGGAGAGUGGAAUUCCUGGUGUAGCGGUGAAAUGCGUAGAUAUCGUAAGGAAGACCAGUGGCGAAGGCGAAUCUCUGGACAGUUACUGACACUGAGGCUCGAAGGCCAGGGGAGCAAACGGG
rnacentral:rRNA from 1 species